UACUCCCAGAAUUCAGGUCGUGCUUGU
rnacentral:piRNA from 1 species